rnacentral:rRNA from 1 species
GCUUAGAGAGGGGUCAAUGUCCUAUCAGCUAGUUGGUAGGGUAAUGGCCUACCAAGGCUAAGACGGGUAGCCGGCCUGAGAGGGUGGUCGGCCACACUGGGACUGAGACACUGCCCAGACUCCUACGGGAGGCUGCAGUCGAGAAUCUUUCGCAAUGCCCGAAAGGGUGACGAAGCGACGCCGCGUGUGGGAAGAAGGCCUUCGGGUUGUAAACCACUGUCGGGAGUUAAGAAAUGUAAGGGUGUUAAUAGUAUCCUUACUUGACUAAGGCUCCGGAGGAAGCCACGGCUAACUCUGUGCCAGCAGCCGCGGUAAUACAGAGGCGGCAAGCGUUGUUCGGAAUUAUUGGGCGUAAAGAGCACGUAGGCGGCCUUGUAAGUCAGUUGUGAAAGCCUUCUGCUUAACGGAAGAACAGCAUCUGAUACUGCAAGGCUAGAGUGCGGAAGGG